rnacentral:rRNA from 1 species
GACGAACGCUGGCGGCGUGCUUAACACAUGCAAGUCGAACGGAAAGGCCUGGUCGGAGGUACUCGAGUGGCGAACGGGGGAGUAACAUGCGGGUGAUUUGCCCUGCACUCUGGGAUAAGCCUGGGAAACUGGGUCUAGUACCGGAUAGGACCGCACUUUAGCGUGUGUGGCGGAAAGCUUUUUCGGUGUAGGAUGAGCCCGCGGCCGAUCAGCUUGUUGGUGGGGUAAUGGCCUACCAAGGCGGCGACGGGUAGCCGGACUGGGAGGUUGGUCGGCCACAUUGAGACUGAGAUACGGCCCAGACUCCUACGCGGGGGAGAGGUGGGAAAGAUUGCUAAAGGAGCACAGGCCUGAUGCAGCGACGCCGCGGGGGGGAUGACGGCCUUCGGGUUGGAGACGCCAUGCGCCAGUGACCGAGCGGUUAGUGACGGUACCUGGAGAAGAAGCCCCGGCUAACUACGUG